UUCUUUGGCAGUUUGUCUUUUUCUGGUUUGGGUGGUUUUGGCAUCUUUGUUUUUUGGUCUGGAUAUUUUUUGGCUUCUCUGAUUUUUCGGCAGCAGGUCCUUCUCACUUGAUUCUAGUUCCUUUAUUUUUUUGAUAUUUUUGCUUUGUCUUGGGUUCCAUUUAUUUGCAAUGGACUCCGCACUUGUGUGUCAAAUUUACGGGCAAAAUUACUCUACUUGGGCCUUUCAGUUUGAACUUUUCCUCAAGGGAAAAGACCUUUGGGGCCAUAUUGAUGGCACGGAUGUUGCACAAACAUCCAACACUGACAAAUCCAAGGAUGUCAGGUCGUUUCCUUCUUGGGCUGUGCUUGAUGCUCGAAUCAUGUCUUGGCUUCUUGGUUCAGUGGAGCCACAUAUUGUCACCAACUUGUGUCCUCAUCGCUUUGCUCAAUUCAUGUGGACUUAUCUGAAGAAGGUUUAUCAUCAAGAUAAUGAUGCUCGUCGCUUUCAGUUAGAGCAAGCGAUUGGCAUUUUUCAACAUGGCAGUCUUUCCAUCCAAGACUAUUAUUCGGCAUUGCUGACUCUUUGGAAUGAAUAAUACUGAUCUUGUUACAGCGGAUGUUCCUAUUGCCGCUCUUUCAACUAUUCAGCAUCUCCAUGAGACUAGUUGGUGUGAUUAGUUUCUUAUGAAACUACGUCCAGAAUAUGAAUCUGUUCGCUCCUCUCUGCUGAAUAGAUCUUCUGUUCAUUCUCUUUAUGUUUGUUUUGGUGAGUUACUUCGUGAAGAACAAUGUCUUAGUACUCAAGCUACUCUGGAGCAAUCUCAUGGUAGUUCAUGAACUGUGGCUUAUGUUGCCCAAGGACGAGGACUGCCUAUGCAUUCUAAAAACUUACAAUGUUUUUGCUGUAAGGAAUAUGGGCAUAUUGCUGCCAAUUGUCCCAAGAAAUAUUGCUCUUAUUGCAAGAAGAAGAGUCACGUUAUCAAAGAAUGUCGUAUCCUCCCAUAGAAUCGUCAAGCUCAAGCAUUUUAGACUUCUGUUAUUGCACCUCCAGCAACACCUUCCAUGGCAAAUGGCUAUUCUCCAGGUGAUUCCUUUGUUCCUGCAGCAAAUUACUGCACACCUAAAAUGGUGUAACAGAUGUUAAUUUCGGCAUUAUCCGCAAUGAGAUUCCAAGGACUAGGUAAUGGGGAAGCCAAUUGCCAAUGGACCUAAAGUGGGGCGCUUGUUUCCAUUUUUGCCCGUUCCAGCAUUUUCUUCAGUUUCUCCUAGUUUUUCCUUUACUUGUAAUAAUGUUCCAGAUUUUAGUAUGGUGUGACAUUGUCGUUUAGGCCAUCCCAAUACUCAGAUCUUAUCUCAUGUAUUGAACUCUGGUUUACUUGGUAAUAAAGAACGUUGUUCU